rnacentral:lncRNA from 1 species
CAGUACUCUGGGACUACCAUGAUUAGAGACAUUCUAGAUAUUGGAUGUUCUGUAGGUGUUAGCACAAGAUUUCUGGCUGACAAGUUUCCUUCUGCUAAUGUCACUGUAAGUCCGAUCCUCAAAUUUUGUGAGAUCAUUUCAACAGUCCUUUACAGAUGAUACAAUGCAAUGAAAAUAAUUUUCUCACAAGUUUUAAUGGCUGAAACUUGUUUAUUUUUUUCCAUAUGCGGAUCCCAACCUGCAGGGGCUAGAUCUGUCACCUCACUUUCUUUCCGUAGCUCAAUUCAAGGAAAAGAAGAUAGGUCCUAGAAAGAAUCCUAUUAAAUGGAUGCAUGCUAAU